rnacentral:lncRNA from 1 species
CCUGGUGUUUGGUGUCUAUUUUCUAUCUUAAGGUUGGUCUUCUAACUUAUCCUAAGGUUUUCUAACUUAGCAGUUAUACUUAGUGUUUUUCUUGUUUAGAGUUAGUUCUUUAUGCAUAGAGACUUCUUCAUUCCAUAUUAUUUAGUUAUAUUUCAAAACCAAGGUUUCUAUUUGACGAGCUUGUCUUGUAACGAGUUUGUCGUAUCCUGACACAACCCUCAUACCUCUCCUUUUCUCGACCCUCAUAGCCUAAGUAAAAAGAAACAAAACAUAGCUUUACAAGUUACGAAAAGAAGACAUCACAACCAAACUCAUCUCCCA